rnacentral:rRNA from 1 species
UGGUAGUGUAUUGGACUACCAUGGCAGUCACGGGUAACGGAGAAUUAGGGUUCGAUUCCGGAGAGGGAGCCUGAGAAACGGCUACCACAUCUACGGAAGGCAGCAGGAGCGAAAAUUGCCCAAUCCCGACACGGGGAGGCAGUGACGAGAAAUAACAACUCUUGGUUAUUCUAAGAAGUGUAAUGAGGAUAAUUUAAAACCCUUACCGGAAGCAAUUGGAGGGCAAGUCUGGUGCCAGCAGCCGCGGUAAUUCCAGCUCCAAUAGCGUAUAUUAAAGUUGUUGCAGUUAAAAAGCUCGUAGUUGAAGUUCUGGCUGAUCGAUCCUCGAGCUCUGUAGCCGAGGGCUCAGCAGUCAUCCGCUUGCAAAUAUAUGCCCGCCUUUAACCGGGCGGCUAUAUGAGUAAGCAUUUUACCUUGAGAAAAACAGAGUGUUCCAGGCAGGUUUGUCCGGAAUGCAUAGCAUGGAAUAAUAGAAUAUGACUGAAGUCGAUUUAUUGGUUUGAGGCUUUAGUAAUGAUUAAUAGGAACAGUCGGGGGCAUUGGUACUUGACAGCCAGAGGUGAAAUUUUAGGAUUUGUCAAAGACUAACAGAUGCGAAAGCAUUUGCCAAGGAUGUUUUCAUUAAUCAAGAACGAAAGUUAAUGGAUCAAAGACGAUCAGAAGUAGGGGAUCAAAGACAUCAGAUAGGGGAUCAAAGACGAUUAGAUGGUAGGGGAUCAAAGACGAUUA